rnacentral:rRNA from 1 species
GAGAGUUUGAUCCUGGCUCAGAUUGAACGCUGGCGGCAGGCCUAACACAUGCAAGUCGAGCGGUAGCACAGAGAGCUUGCUCUCGGGUGACGAGCGGCGGACGGGUGAGUAAUGUCUGGGAAACUGCCUGAUGGAGGGGGAUAACUACUGGAAACGGUAGCUAAUACCGCAUAACGUCGCAAGACCAAAGUGGGGGACCUUCGGGCCUCAUGCCAUCAGAUGUGCCCAGAUGGGAUUAGCUAGUAGGUGGGGUAAUGGCUCACCUAGGCGACGAUCCCUAGCUGGUCUGAGAGGAUGACCAGCCACACUGGAACUGAGACACGGUCCAGACUCCUACGGGAGGCAGCAGUGGGGAAUAUUGCACAAUGGGCGGAAGCCUGAUGCAGCCAUGCCGCGUGUAUGAAGAAGGCCUUCGGGUUGUAAAGUACUUUCAGCGAGGAGGAAGGCGUUAAGGUUAAUAACCUUAGCGAUUGACGUUACUCGCAGAAGAAGCACCGGCUAACUCCGUGCCAGCAGCCGCGGUAAUACGGAGGGUGCAAGCGUUAAUCGGAAUUACUGGGCGUAAAGCGCACGCAGGCGGUCUGUCAAGUCGGAUGUGAAAUCCCCGGGCUCAACCUGGGAACUGCAUUCGAAACUGGCAGGCUAGAGUCUUGUAGAGGGGGGUAGAAUUCCAGGUGUAGCGGUGAAAUGCGUAGAGAUCUGGAGGAAUACCGGUGGCGAAGGCGGCCCCCUGGACAAAGACUGACGCUCAGGUGCGAAAGCGUGGGGAGCAAACAGGAUUAGAUACCCUGGUAGUCCACGCCGUAAACGAUGUCGACUUGGAGGUUGUGCCCUUGAGGCGUGGCUUCCGGAGCUAACGCGUUAAGUCGACCGCCUGGGGAGUACGGCCGCAAGGUUAAAACUCAAAUGAAUUGACGGGGGCCCGCACAAGCGGUGGAGCAUGUGGUUUAAUUCGAUGCAACGCGAAGAACCUUACCUGGUCUUGACAUCCACAGAACUUUCCAGAGAUGGAUUGGUGCCUUCGGGAACUGUGAGACAGGUGCUGCAUGGCUGUCGUCAGCUCGUGUUGUGAAAUGUUGGGUUAAGUCCCGCAACGAGCGCAACCCUUAUCCUUUGUUGCCAGCGGUCCGGCCGGGAACUCAAAGGAGACUGCCAGUGAUAAACUGGAGGAAGGUGGGGAUGACGUCAAGUCAUCAUGGCCCUUACGACCAGGGCUACACACGUGCUACAAUGGCAUAUACAAAGAGAAGCGACCUCGCGAGAGCAAGCGGACCUCAUAAAGUAUGUCGUAGUCCGGAUUGGAGUCUGCAACUCGACUCCAUGAAGUCGGAAUCGCUAGUAAUCGUAGAUCAGAAUGCUACGGUGAGUACGUUCCCGGGCCUUGUACACACCGCCCGUCACACCAUGGGAGUGGGUUGCAAAAGAAGUAGGUAGCUUAACCUUCGGGAGGGCGCUUACCACUUUGUGAUUCAUGACUGGGGUGAAGUCGUAACAAGGUAACCG